AUUGAACGCUGGCGGCAGGCCUAACACAUGCAAGUCGAACGAGUGGCGGACGGGUGAGUAAUGUCUGGGAAACUGCCUGAUGGAGGGGGAUAACUACUGGAACCGGUAGCUAAUACCGCCUACCAUCGGAUGUGCCCAGAUGGGAUUAGCUAGUUGGUGGGGUAAAGGCUCACCUAGGCGACGAUCCCUAGCUGGUCUGAGAGGAUGACAAGCAAAACGGGAACUGAGACACGGGCCAGACUCCUACGGGAGGAAGCAGUGGGGAAUAUGGCACAAGGGGAGCAAGCCUGAUGGAGCCAUGCAGCGUGGAUGAAGAAGGCAUUCGGGGUGUAAAGUACUUUCAGCGGGGAGGCGUUACCCGCAGAAGAAGCACCGGCUAACUCCGUGCCAGCAGCCGCGGUAAUAC
rnacentral:rRNA from 1 species